UGGGGAAUAUUGGACAAUGGGGGGAACCCUGAUCCAGCCAUGCCGCGUGUGUGAAGAAGGCCUUAUGGUUGUAAAGCACUUUAAGCGAGGAGGAGGGUACUGGUAUUAAUACUACCAGGUACUGGACGUUACUCGCAGAAUAAGCACCGGCUAACUCUGUGCCAGCAGCCGCGGUAAUACAGAGGGUGCGAGCGUUAAUCGGAUUUACUGGGCGUAAAGCGUGCGUAGGCGGCUAAUUGAGUCGGAUGUGAAAUCCCCGAGCUUAACUUGGGAAUUGCAUUCGAUACUGGUUAGCUAGAGUGUGGGAGAGGAUGGUAGAAUUCCAGGUGUAGCGGUGAAAUGCAUAGAGAUCUGGAGGAAUACCGAUGGCGAAGGCAGCCAUCUGGCCUAACACUGACGCUGAGGUACGAAAGCAUGGGGAGCAAACAGG
rnacentral:rRNA from 1 species